AAUGAACGCUGGCGGCGUGCUUAACACAUGCAAGUCGAACGAGAAAGUGGACUUCGGUCCAUGAGUAGAGUGGCGCACGGGUGAGUAACACGUGGGUAAUCUACCCUUGAAUUUGGGAUAACAUUGCGAAAGUGAUGCUAAUACCGAAUAACAUCCAACAGGCUCUGGUUUGUUGGAUCAAAGACGGCCUCUCCUUGGAAGCUGUUGUUUAGGGAUGAGCCUGCGUACCAUUAGCUAGUUGGCAGGGUAAUGGCCUACCAAGGCUACGACGGAUAGGGGGCCUGAGAGGGUGGCCCCCCA
rnacentral:rRNA from 1 species